AUCGGGAUGGCGCAAUGGCAGCGCGUUGGUUUCCGGUUCCAUAUCGACUACCAAAGGUUGUGGGUUCGAAUCCCGUUUCCGAUG